rnacentral:rRNA from 1 species
GAUGAACGCUGGCGGCGUGCUUAACACAUGCAAGUCGAACGGUGAAGCCCAGCUUGCUGGGUGGAUCAGUGGCGAACGGGUGAGUAACACGUGAGUAACCUGCCCCAGACUCUGGGAUAAGCGCUGGAAACGGCGUCUAAUACCGGAUACGAGCUUCGGCCGCAUGGCUAGGAGCUGGAAAGAAUUUCGGUCUGGGAUGGACUCGCGGCCUAUCAGCUUGUUGGUGAGGUAACGGCUCACCAAGGCGACGACGGGUAGCCGGCCUGAGAGGGUGACCGGCCACACUGGGACUGAGACACGGCCCAGACUCCUACGGGAGGCAGCAGUGGGGAAUAUUGCACAAUGGGCGCAAGCCUGAUGCAGCAACGCCGCGUGAGGGAUGACGGCCUUCGGGUUGUAAACCUCUUUUAGUAGGGAAGAAGCGAAAGUGACGGUACCUGCAGAAAAAGCACCGGCUAACUACGUGCCAGCCGCCGCAGUAAGAC